rnacentral:lncRNA from 1 species
CGCUGGUUACUGAGUGGAAUGCGGUGGAUCUGGAUCGAUGGCUGCUAGUACUUUUCUUUUUUUCUUAGACAAUCCUGGUGCCAUAAGAAUACCUGCAAAUAUAUAGUCAAAUGAAAUCAAUGUCAAGAUUUUAAACUAAAUCAACUAAAGUCAACUUUAAGAUAUUCACUGCAUAGUCUAUGUACAUGUGUAUCAAGGAAAACAAUAGUUAAAGAAAGAGAAAAAAUGACAAUGCUGUAG